AGAGUUCGAUCCUGGCUCAGGAUGAACGCUGGCGGCGCGCCUAACACAUGCAAGUCGAACGGCACCCCUCUCCGGAGGGAAGCGAGUGGCGAACGGCUGAGUAACACGUGGAGAACCUGCCCCCUCCCCCGGGAUAGCCGCCCGAAAGGACGGGUAAUACCGGAUACCCCCGGGCGCCGCAUGGCGCCCGGGCUAAAGCCCCGACGGGAGGGGAUGGCUCCGCGGCCCAUCAGGUAGACGGCGGGGUGACGGCCCACCGUGCCGACAACGGGUAGCCGGGUUGAGAGACCGACCGGCCAGAUUGGGACUGAGACACGGCCCAGACUCCUACGGGAGGCAGCAGUGGGGAAUCUUGCGCAAUGGGGGGAACCCUGACGCAGCGACGCCGCGUGCGGGACGGAGGCCUUCGGGUCGUAAACCGCUUUCAGCAGGGAAGAGUCAAGACUGUACCUGCAGAAGAAGCCCCGGCUAACUACGUGCCAGCAGCCGCGGUAAUACGUAGGGGGCGAGCGUUAUCCGGAUUCAUUGGGCGUAAAGCGCGCGUAGGCGGCCCGGCAGGCCGGGGGUCGAAGCGGGGGGCUCAACCCCCCGAAGCCCCCGGAACCUCCGCGGCUUGGGUCCGGUAGGGGAGGGUGGAACACCCGGUGUAGCGGUGGAAUGCGCAGAUAUCGGGUGGAACACCGGUGGCGAAGGCGGCCCUCUGGGCCGAGACCGACGCUGAGGCGCGAAAGCUGGGGGAGCGAACAGGAUUAGAUACCCUGGUAGUCCUAGCCGUAAACGAUGGGCGCUAGGUGUGGGGAGGGUCAUCCUCUCCGUGCCGCAGCUAACGCAUUAAGCGCCCCGCCUGGGGAGUACGGCCGCAAGGCUAAAACUCAAAGGAAUUGACGGGGGCCCGCAC
rnacentral:rRNA from 1 species